UGGCUCAGUGGGUAGAGCAUUGGGCUGAGGACUGAAGGGUCCUGGGUUUGAUUCCCGG
rnacentral:tRNA from 1 species